UAACAGGGAUUCUAGCAGCUAGAGGAGAGAUUUUUAGCUGUGAAUUGACCCCCUUAGACCAGGGAUGAUCUAAUUUGAAGCUUGCUUAAGCAGGUUUCCGAACCACGUGGAGCUUAUUUGGUGACCUGGGGCGCUGGUUUAGAAAGUGUUCUACCUUGAGCAGGAGUGUGAUCGACUCUUGGAGUGAUUUUGGCUGACCUGUGGAAGCUCUUGAAGACUCAACUUGAGCAGAUCCAGGGACCGUUUGAGCUGAAUUUGGAGCAUCUCUUGGGCUGUUUUGAGCUUAGUGAUAGAGCCAUCUACAGGAGAGGCUAGGGACCGUGGCAA